UUAUCUGGCGAGGUGGAGGAGGUUAUCGGGUGAGCCGAAGGCGAACCUGAUAACGUCCGGAGCCGAGCCAGAUAAACUUUCUCCAUCUUAGGCACUAACCCAUUAUUCUAUUUAUCUUGUCAUUACUUCAUUUUCCGAUAUUUGGCAAUUUAUUUUACAAAAAUAAGUGUGCGACAACCGCUUUAAUGACGUCAUAUUCGUAAUGACGUCACUUAUAUAAUGACGUGUUUACCGGUAAAAUCGCAAUAACUUCUUCGUUUUUGAAUAAAAACUCAUUAUUUGACCACUCAUUUUCUUAGUUCGGACAUUUCCAACACAAUGAUGAUGGUUUCGUUGCAAAAUUUCUUAUGACAACAAUAUCGACCAUAAGGUCACAUGAUCAACUGACCGUAUAUCACUGGUCACAUGAUCAACUGACGGUAUAUCAAGAAAGAUAUACGGCACCCGAUAAGGGGUCGAAAAUACUGCAAGUGACAGGAUAAAUGCAUUUUGCAACAAAUUUUAAUCUCAGCGCGGGAAACAGACGCGCGUAAACGAACAUGACGUCAGACGUGUUGUGACGUUAGAAAGACGCACACGACAUAAAGUUCCAUUUUGUUUUAUUUCUUGUUGCAUAACGUUAUGAAAUUCUCAUUUUAAGUAAAAUAAUUUUAAUCGAGAAAUAUACUAUAAAGAACAAAGUGCGGCUAUGAUUUUCAUCCUGUUGUAACACAAUGAUAGCUCGCAGGUCAGUUUUCCGUUAAUUCAUCAUUGUGUUUAUUUUAUCUAUUAUUGAUUUUGGUAGAUAAUCCUGAUAAUUCUUUCAAAUGAUACGCAUUCUGUUUACAUGCGUAGGUCAUUGUUGGUAUUUACUACUCAAGCAAAUUUCGUAACAUCGGAGUGUUUUAUCCAUUACGUUUAGGGCUAAAUGACUUUGUUUACUAUUAUUAGAUCAGAUAUUGCGAAAUUCUCAAAUGAAAUUGAUUUGGUCAGCCUUAAUUACUUUAUUUUUGUUUUCGAUGGAAUUUUCAUUAAUUGGCCAGAAAUGUUAAUUACUUUGUUUACCUGUUCAGCAUAUUGUUGUUGUUUACAAUUUAUACAAAAUGAAUCACCGUUGAAUGUUUUAUCUAUUAGAUUUGACCCUAAUUAUUUUGUUUGUUUCGGUAACAGUCAUUUAUUUACGAAAAUACACAAUGGUGGUUGAUUCUACAUCUGUUAUUUACUAUUGUAUGGGUACAUAAUGGACGUUUUGAUUGACAUGUUUUGAAAUUGCUUCGAAUAUUUUGAAAUACUUGUAAACAUGUUAUUGCGUUGUAGUUCGUAAAAAAGGUAUAAAUACUCAGAGAAUUAAGAGAAGAGAGGAGAAUGGGGAGAGGAGGACUGAGUCAAGAAAAGAGAAGACUGAGUUAAGAAUCAGGAAGUUAGAAAUGUUUUACAAAAAUGGGAUCGGAUACUUGGCAGUUCGGAUCGGUUCAGAUCAGCUCGGUUAAGUUCGAUUUUUUGGACUCGGGUUAUAGAGCGGGUUAAAAAUAACUGUGGAAGUUUUAGAAUUGACUAUUAUGUUAUAGAACUUUUGGACUUAAGAAUAAAAAAUUUAUUAAAAGUUUGACGCGGGAAAAUACUAUUUAAAAAGCUGAUGUAUUUAUACCUGAAUUGACUGUUAGUAUAGUUGACGUCUGUAUAACCUUGUAAAUAAAACCGAGUGUGAAAAAACUGCUGACUUUCUCAAUCUAUGCAACCAGUGGUGGUGUUACAUGGAUCGUUUCUGGUGCACAUGUGACCAGGAUUUCAACAGAACAUUUUUGAACGAACAAAAAAUUUGUCGCGGAUAUCACAACGGAAGUACUUAAAAGAAUAUAGCUUGAAAACUACAUUUGGAAAUAUUGAAGCAUCAAUUACAGAACAGAAAUUCAUACAAAAAAUAAAGAAUAAAAAUUUAACUGUUUUCCUUGGAAAAUUAUUAGUACAUCAAUGCCGGAUAAAACAACGAAAGACCUGAGGAAAACGAAUCUGGUAUUCAUUACAUGGCGAAAUAUUGUAGCAUCAACAAUGAAUUAAAAGUUCGGAAGCGCAGAAUGCUAAUAAUAAAAAAAAACUGAUAAGAAAAAUGGAAAAGAACUAUAUGACAAAUACGGAACUACUGUCGGAGCUGGACAACGAAUCGCGCAGAGAAAGCAAAUCGUUAUAAAGACGUGCAACAGGGCCGUGCUACAGAAAAUAGCGACUGCAGGAACUCAAGUAAAUGUUUCUAAGGAGGAAGGGAGAUAUAUAGAUUCCAGGAAUUCGUGUAAAAUAAUAUCUAAGGAAGGAAAGAAGAUGCAGAACUCCAGAAAUAAAAUGAGGCAGGAAUGUGGAUGUAUACUCUGAGCUCAAAGAAUGUUGUAUAAUUCAUAGUUAAGAUGUGGGUAAGUCUUAAAACGUGGAUCAUACAUGACAUAGGACAUUAAUAUACUGUAGAUAUAUAUGAGACGGAAAUAAUGUCUUAGAGCGUGAGUAACACAUAUAUAUCAUAUUUAAGAUGUAAGAAGUCUUAAAGCGUGGAUAACGGGCAGUAUAGAAAUUAUAGUGAAUAUGACGUGUGUAACGUCUUCGGAGCAAGUGUAAUGCUCAACUAUAGGGAAUUAGUCGCCAAUAAUGCGAUUGUUGUAAAAAAUAAAUGUAGAGGAUUUUGUUCUUCGAGUCAGAGGGAUUUAGUUGCUACUUUGCCUGAAUUAUUAGGGAUGGAUGUACAAGAAUAAUAAAUAUGAUGUAGAUUUAAGAUAUGAGGCAAUUUUAAAACGGGACGGUUUUAAGUUCACAAAACCUUAUUUUUUUAGGGAGAAAUAAAAAGAUGAGUAACUAUGUUUAGAUUCUGAAGAUGAUUUCUUGAGCUAAAUUUUUCAAGGCAGGGCAUAUAAGAAAUUUGAAUUUAGUUAACGAUAAUAUUCCGAACAGUUACCAGUGGUUUGCAGAGAUUCUGGACAGUCCUAACAAAUAAAAGGCGAUGCAACUUUUAGCAGCAGAUGAUGUAUGGUAAAACAUGUUUAAAGCCGUCAAAAAAAAAAGUUGAAGUAAAUCAUAUGAAAGCUUAUAUGAAUACAACACGGAUAGAUAACAUUGUACCAGCGUAAACAAUAAUAGCAAAUCAUCACAGGAAGUACAAACGUCAUCCGAAACUAAUAUGAAAUAUUCUAUGAUUAAUUCUUGGGAAAAAUAUGCUGGAUUGUGUUCACAUCUUGAAAGGAAUAUUCUAGAGACGUGUUUCUUUUUGUAGAUGUGUUUUUUUUUUAUCUUCUAGAAGUGUUCCCUUAUAGACGUGUGAUUUUAUUCUUAUUGACGUGCUACCUUUUAAUAGACGUGUAUUUUUAUCUAAUAGACAUGUUCCCUUUUACAGACAUGAAUCCUCAAUUUUAUGUGUUUGAAUUUGAUUGUUAUAGCUUUAGCAAAAUGAAAACGUCAAUAGCAACAGUGACAUGAAACGAUAGCAACGGAGACUUGUAAAAUGCAGCCGGAUGAAAAA